rnacentral:rRNA from 1 species
CAAGUCGAACGCGAAAGUUCCCUUCGGGGAACAAGUAGAGUGGCGCACGGGUGAGUAACACGUAGGUAAUCUACCUUUGGAUUGGGAAUAACACCGAGAAAUCGGUGCUAAUACCGAAUAAUGCAGCGGCACCUAAUGGUGACAGUUGUUAAAGCGGGGGAUCGCAAGACCUCGCGUCUAAAGAGGAGCCUGCGGCGGAUUAGCUAGUUGGUAAGGUAACGGCUUACCAAGGCGAUGAUCCGUAGCCGGCCUGAGAGGGCGGUCGGCCACACUGACACUGACAUACGGGUCAGACUCCUACGGGAGGCAGCAGUCGGGAAUUUUGGGCAAUGGGCGAAAGCCUGACCCAGCAACGCCGCGUGAAGGAUGAAAUCCCUCGGGAUGUAAACUUCGCAAGAACGGGAAGAAUAAGUCGGUGCUAACACCAUCGGCGAUGACGGUACUGUUUGUAAGCUCCGGCUAACUCCGUGCCAGCAGCCGCGGUAAUACGGGGGGAGCAAGCGUUGUUCGGAUUUACUGGGCGUAAAGGGCGCGUAGGCGGCCACCGCAAGUCGACUGUGAAAUCUCCGGGCUUAACUCGGAAAGGUCAGCCGAUACUGCGGGGCUAGAGUGCAGAAGGGGCAACUGGAAUUCUCGGUGUAGCGGUGAAAUGCGUAGAUAUCGAGAGGAACACCUGCGGCGAAGGCGGGUUGCUGGGCUGACACUGACGCUGAUUGUGCGAAAGCUAGGGGAGCGAACGGGAUUAGAUACCCCGGUAGUCCUAGCCUUAAACGAUGAAUGCUUGGUGUCUGGGGUUUUAUAG